rnacentral:rRNA from 1 species
AUUGAACGCUGGCGGAAUGCUUUACACAUGCAAGUCGAACGGCAGCACGGGGGCAACCCUGGUGGCGAGUGGCGAACGGGUGAGUAAUACAUCGGAACGUGCCCAGUCGUGGGGGAUAACGUAGCGAAAGCUACGCUAAUACCGCAUACGAUCUACGGAUGAAAGCGGGGGAUCGCAAGACCUCGCGCGAUUGGAGCGGCCGAUGGCAGAUUAGGUAGUUGGUGGGGUAAAGGCUCACCAAGCCGACGAUCUGUAGCUGGUCUGAGAGGACGACCAGCCACACUGGGACUGAGACACGGCCCAGACUCCUACGGGAGGCAGCAGUGGGGAAUUUUGGACAAUGGGCGCAAGCCUGAUCCAGCCAUUCCGCGUGCAGGAUGAAGGCCUUCGGUUGUAACUAGCUUUUGUACGGUAACGAAACGGACCGUUUCUAAUACAAGAGGCGUAAUAGACGGUACCGUAACGGAAUAAAGACACCGGCGUAACUACGUAGCCAGCAGCCGCGGUAA